rnacentral:lncRNA from 8 species
UUGAUUUGUUUAGGCACUCAAGGCUGAGAGGAUGAAUCCAUUUUGAGAAGGGGUGUCCUGUCCUGUGAUCAAGCCAACCAAUUUGAAUACAAUGGGGGAGGGGGGGGGGGGACAAAUAGCAGCUAGAGCAAGCUAGACAAUAGGUUGUUUGUCAGGCUCUUGUAUCUAAGCGUCUGUGUUGGAUGUGAGGGUAUGUGCGUGCGCGUGAGUGUGAGUGUGUGUCACCAGGUGUGACUGUGUGGCCUUGUGUGGGUGUGGUUCCUUCAUCUUUGUGUGAACUUUUAUAGCCUGUGAGAUUGGACGACAUUUAUGAGGGAGUGUGUUUUAAAGGGCUUCUAAUACAGUGACGUACUGAAUCUUCGAUUGGGCAACAACAUUAACAUUUUUAUUUUUGUAUUUGUUCAUCAACAAGAGGAAGCAAACAAAAGACAUAUGGAUAGACGCAAGUACAUUUUUCACUCUGUAUUCGGUGAGAUAUUUGUUAGAAUGAAUUUAGGAUGAACCAGUUGUUUGGAGAUCCUGCUGUAUUAUAUGGUUGAAAAGGGAUUAUCUCAUCGACGAUGUAACAACAUAUCUCUCUCUUUUCCUUCUUCUGUUUACCUGGGGCGGCAGGUAGCCUAGUGGUUACAGUGUUGGGCCAGUAACCAAAAGGUUGCUGGAUUGAAUCCCUGAGCUGACAAGGUAAAAAAUCUGUCGUUCUGCCCCUGAACAAGGUGGUUAACCCACUGUUCUCUGGUAGGUAAUAAUUGUAAAUAAGAAUUUGUUCUUAACUGACUUGCCUAAAUAAAUACAAAUUUUUAUUUCAAUUAUUAUUUUUUCUAUACCUUUUUUUCUAAACCGUCUUUCUCAAUGUGUGUGGUCCACUAUUCACAGUGUGUUCAAUCAAAAUAUUUAAUAUAAAUGCGGGGUGAUUGUGAUUUAAAACCAGAUUAUUCUUUUUUUUUAAUCACUUUUAGAAGUUUUGGAGAAUUGUCAUUUGAUCGUUUCAACACCGGGAUAGUUUACAGAAAUCUAUUUAUUAACUAAAGCUGAGGAGACUUCAUUUUGAGAGCCUGGCCCUAGUACAAAACGAGCAAACCCAGAAUAAAAAUGUGAAAUAGAGACAUUUCUGAGAAGGUUAGUAACCUUGUUCAUAUUGUUUGUAUAAAAUGAUGAUGAUGCCAGAUAAAAUAUUAUCUAUUCAUGUACAAAUGUGUGUAACACCUUCUCUUGUAUCUUCUUUUAACAGUACAUUCUGGAAUAGCACAAUUGGUAGCACCAUUAGUUGCUAGAAAGACAUGCUCGUUCUGUAGAACAGCACUCUCACAAGGCCUGUUGUGGUGGUGCACCCUCGUAUAGACGCAUUUUCAUCACAGCUUGGAGAAUCCGGAGAGGCGUUCUCACUCGGUGAAGAGGUCGCAGUGAAUCAGAGUGUCUAGGGCUGGUGGGAGCAGCCUCUCAUUUGGUCAGAAUUG